UACGUAGGGGGCAAGCGUUGUCCGGAAUCAUUGGGCGUAAAGAGCGUGUAGGCGGUUCAGUAAGUCUGCUGUGAAAGUCCAAGGCUCAACCUUGGGAUGCCGGUGGAUACUGCUGAGCUAGAGUACGGAAGAGGCGAGUGGAAUUCCCGGUGUAGCGGUGAAAUGCGCAGAUAUCAGGAGGAACACCGGUGGCGAAGGCGGGUCUCUGGGCCGUAACUGACGCUGAGGAGCGAAAGCGUGGGGAGCGAACAGG
rnacentral:rRNA from 1 species